GAUAUCGCGGAGAUGGCCUAUUCCGCGGAAAUGAGGAGAGUGGUAGAAGAAAAAGAGAGAGAGAACGAAGCGGCGGCCGCGGAUGGAACAAAUUUGAUGUACCGGGAGGACGAACGUUGAAGUUAAACCGGAGACUACUACUCGCUCGCUCGCUCGCCCCUAGCUCUUAGACAGCCGAGUUGUAUAACCUUUUCGCGACAAGAUUGAAGUUUAACGACGAUCCGAAUCGCCCACGAGUGGUGCCAACGUCGUAGAAUAGGAUUUUCACGCGGUGACAAGAAUCCCUGAACCCGAGGUGGUCCCUCCCUACCUCCGGAAAAACCUUUUCCUUUGCCCACCUCGUUCGAGCAUCGGGGACGCUACCGAGAGAUCGCGAAAAGGAUACAACUCAUCCCCGUGUAAGAGAGGAGUCCGCGUGCACGUUGUCCUCUUCAUGCGGAAUCGACGAGAUGCUCGUUAAAAUUUUUUUUCGAAGAAUACGAAUUUCAAUCCGUCGCGCGCACUCUUCUUCCAGCCGAGCAAGGGCAUAUUUAUGUGUAACAAUAUUACGUCCCGUUUUCGCAUUUUAUCAUACAGCGCCAUGAAUUGUUUGUUUUUCUUUUUUCCAUAACAUACGAAUGGAGGAAGAAUUGCGAAAACGCGAUGUUUUAAAAAUUGCGGCAACUGUAUUUGAACUGAAAGAAUCUGGGGGGAAAAAAAGUAAAAAGAAAAAUGGAAAUCGCUGAUUGCAGGAGGGAACGAAUUUCGAAUGAAUGAGAAAAAAAAUAAUAUCAUCUCCAUAAACCCCGGGCGCGGGCGGAGGUUAUACGGAGUGAAUCAUAUUCAAAUUUGUCUCGGUCGAGCGAAGGUGGAUUUAUUUAUUCCAUCAAAUCGAGUCGAGUCUUUCGUAGACUAAUUUUAGAAAAAAUUUUUCCCUCAAUCCGUGAUUUUUUUACACCGCGAUGGGAUACGCGGGACGAAUUCUCUCGUGCGAUUCGAGCUGGCCGCGACGAUGGGUGCGUUCGCAAAAAGGACUCGCUGUACACCGCAUUUGAAUAGAAAAUAAGAAAAAAAAAAAAACACGGAAGAACCGCCACCGAUCACUGCAGGGGAUAGCUACCGCGAUAUCGAUAUCUGAAAACCGUCAACUGUUUCAACGUAAUCGCAGCGACCUACAGAUUACUGCACCUGCACUACCUGGCGGUGUGGUAACACCAUCUGGUGCCGGUGCAACGGGUGUACAAUGUACGGAGAAAAGUGGUGGUUCGCGAUAAAAACAAACGAUCCUCCGCAGAAUCCGGGGGCCAUCAACGUCGCACCGCAUUCAAACUCGUAUAGGGUACUACCCUGUACGCGGUGUAACAAACCGCAGCUUUUUUCGACCGCCGCAAUAGCUGUUGUAAAACCCAAAAAUGUCAUCCGAUAUAUCGUUUUUAUACGUUCGACGCGUUUUUGUUGCGACAGAAAGAAGAAAAAAUAAAAAAAAAAAGAAUAAUAAUCGACCGACAGCGAACGCGCAUCGAAAUCCGCAACGUUUCAAACUGUUCCGCGAAUAAGCUGCGGUGAAUACCCGUGCAAACAACGAAAGAGGAAAGUACAUUUUUCCAAUCGAAAUAAAAAGAAAAAAAAAAAAAAAAAAAAAAAACAGCGAACAAAUAAAAGAAAUUCAUACGUUGCUCGCUGUCCAGGGCGUAGAGGCAUCUGCUCGUUAUACAGCAGUGUGCGUACAAACGUUACAUUAUAAUAGAUGAUCAGCUACAAGGCAAACCGUGCAAAUGACGCCGACCUCCGGGCUUUGAUUGCUAUGCGAGUCGCGACCUCGCGAGUAAAAUCAAAGGCGAGCGUACGCGGGGGGUGCAUGAAAACAUACGUGAUACGUAUGUGGUAUACAUAGCUACGCUACACACGCUACGCGGACGAACGGUUUUCCGGCUUUAGAACUCGCAAGCUUUUAGAAUGUGUGGUACACGUAUUGUGACAGGACCGAAGCUACAGACGCAGCUAUUGCAGGAAUUGCAAUUGAAAUUGCAACGACGAACUAUCUACUAUCUGGACCCGGCCAUCGCGUUAUACCUCCCAACUACUUCGAUACUCUAUGAUGAAAGAGAGGAAAAAAAAAAGAAGAGGGAGAAAAAAAAUCGAAUACGGUCCGAAGAAUUUUCUCGUUACAUCAUUCUCGACGGACGUUUCCUGAUCGGCCAUUCCCGGACUACGUACUCGGUAAUCGGAAUUAUACCGUUCGAUGUUGGAUUACUCGCUGCAGGCAGGGGAGAUAGAAACUGGCGCAUCGAUCUUCGAUGUGAUUUUCAAAUUCCGAAGAGAAAUAAGUUGACGAAAAGAAUUGGAAGAGAGGAGAUCGGGGCGGUUGCGCAACGUGACGUAAGGACAAAAAAAAAAUACAUACAUACAUCUCUUUUAUCGCAGAUUUACACACGUACCACGUCGAGUUCGCUUGUGCAGGGUUACUCUCAACGGAUUCGAAAAUAAAUAAAUAAAUAAACAGUUGCAUUUUUACGCAAGAUAGGAAAAAAGUAAGAAAGAGAGAAAAAAUAAGGCGAGAUGUUGGACUCUUAUCCCCGGACCGCAUCAUCAUCUCGCACAGCGUCAGGUGAAUUUUUGAUACGGAAAAGAAAAAGACGGAGGGUUUUAACGAGGGUCUAAAUAGACGGCUUACGUCCUCGUCGUAACAGCUGUUAAACACAAGAGUAUAUAAUCGUAGAAGCUAUAGCUGAAAGCUUGAUAUCAACUAAACGGUUAAUCCGACUUUCCAGAGCACAGUCGUGUCAUUAUGUAGGAAGGGAGUGUACAGUGG